rnacentral:rRNA from 1 species
CCUACGGGUGGCAGCAGUGGGGGAUAUUGCACAAUGGGGGGAACCCUGAUGCAGCGACGCCGCGUGGGUGAAGGAGCGUUUCGGCGCGUAAAGCCCUAUCGGCAGGGAAGAAGAUGACGGUACCUGACCAAGAAGCCCCGGCUAACUACGUGCCAGCAGCCGCGGUAAUACGUAGGGGGCAAGCGUUAUCCGGAUUUACUGGGUGUAAAGGGGGCGCAGACGGCAAUGCAAGCCAGGAGUGAAAGCCCGGGGCCCAACCCCGGCCCGCCGUUGAAACUGGCAGUCGCGAGUUGGAGAGAAGUAUGCGGAAUGCGCGGUGUAGCGGUGAAAUGCAUAGAUAUCGCGCAGAACUCCGAUUGCGAAGGCAGCAUGCCGGCUCCACACUGACGCUGAGGCACGAAAGCGUGGGUAUCGAACAGGAUUAGAUACCCGUGUAGUC